AGAAUUUCCCUCAGUUGAGGUUUGGCUGGUAUUUUCCAAUGGAAUUUGGAGAGGAAGACCACAGAGGUCAUAGCACUUACCUCAUGAGGACGUUGUGAAGAUCAAAGGAUGUGUGUGUUUCAAAGGGCUUCAUACUGGUGAAGAAGAGAAUGUUGAGAGUGGCAUGGAGGGUCAACUGAAGGAGGUGAGAGUGAAACGAGGACUGUGCGGCUUGAACUGGGGCAUAAUCAGGCCCUGGGCCAGCACCUUGUCAGUGAAAUCAGAGGAGAA